ensembl:lncRNA
GUCUGCUAUUCCAUCUCCUCUAACCAGUCUGCUAUUCCAUCUCCACUUACCAGUCUGCUAUUCCAUCUCCUCUAACCAGUCUGCUAUUCCAUCUCCUCUAACCAGUCUGCUAUUCCAUCUCCUCUAUAGUCUCCACUUACCAGUCUGCUAUUCCAUCUCCUCUAUAGUCUCCACCUACCAGUCUGCUAUUCCAUCUCCUCUAUAGUCUCCACUUACCAGUCUGCUAUUCCAUCUCCUCUAACCAGUCUGCUAUUCCAUCUCCUCUAUAGUCUCCACUUACCAGUCUGCUAUUCCAUCUCCUCUAUAGUCUCCACCUACCAGUCUGCUAUUCCAUCUCCUCUAUAGUCUCCACUUACCAGUCUGCUAUUCCAUCUCCUCUAACCAGUCUGCUAUUCCAUCUCCACUUACCAGUCUGCUAUUCCAUCUCCUCUAACCAGUCCGCUAUUCCAUCUCCUCUAACCAGUCUGCUAUUCCAUCUCCUCUAUACCCCCCCUGCUCUCUCUCUCCCCAUGACAACCCUCAACCGGAGUGAUGUCUGCUCUAUUCAUGGUAUUUCUAUCUGGCUACUGAACCAGGCCCCGUAAUGACAAGACAGCCCAAACAGAUCUGGGACCAGGCUAGGUAAUGACAAGACAGCCCAAACAGAUCUGGGACCAGGCUAGUGUUGCUUUGGAAACGCUGUGAUCAUAUUAACUGUGAAGUUAGCCCAUUGUUACGUCCUUAUGUCUGUUUUUACUUGAAGCAAGGAUACAUCCCAAAUGGCACCCUAUUCCCUAUGGGCCCUGUUUAAACAGUGCACUAUAAAGGGAAUGGCUCCCUAUGGGCCCUGUUUAAACAGUGCACUAUAAAGGGAAUGGCUCCCUAUGGGCCCUGUUUAAACAGUGCAUUAUAAAGGGAAUGGCUCCCUAUGGGCCCUGUU